ensembl:lncRNA
UAGGAUCCCCAGGUGUUCUAUAGGUGUUCUAUAGGAUCCCCAGGUGUUCUAUAGGAUCCCCAGGUGCUCUAUAGGUGCUCUAUAGGAUCCCCAGGUGCUCUAUAGGGUCCCCCAGGUGUCCCCCAGGUGCUCUAUAGGAUCCCCAGGUGUUCUAUAGGGUCCCCCAGGUGCUCUAUAGGAUCCCCCAGGUGUCCCCCAGGUGUUCCAUAGGAUCCCCAGGUGUCCCCAGGUGCUCUAUAGAUGUUCUAUAGGAUCCCCAGGUGCUCUAUAGGAUCCCCAGGUGUUCUGCAGGUGUUCUAUAGGGUCCCCCAGGUGUUCUGUAGGUGUUCUAUAGGAUCCCCAGGUGCUCUAUAGGUGUUCUAUAGGGUCCCCCAGGUGCUCUAUAGGAUCCCCAGGUGCUCUAUAGGGUCCCCCAGGUGUUCUAUAGGUGUUCUAUAGGGUCCCCCGGGUGCUCUAUAGGUGCUCUAUAGGAUCCCCAGGUGUUCUAUAGGGUCCCCCAGGUGCUCUAUAGGGUCCCCCAGGUGUUCUAUAGGGUCCCCCAGGUGUUCUAUAGGAUCCCCAGGUGCUCUAUAGGUGUUCUAUAGGAUCCCCAGGUGCUCUAUAGGGUCCCCCGGGUGUUCCAUAGGUGUUCUAUAGGUGCUCUAUAGAUGUUCUAUAGGGUCCCCCAGGUGUUCUAUAGGGUCCCCCAGGUGUCCCCAGGUGUCCCCAGGUGUUCUAUAGGGUCCCCAGGUGUCCCCAGGUGUGUUCCAGGUGUGUCCAGGUGUCCCCAGGUGUCCCCAGGUGUCCCCAGGUGUGUUUUUGGCUCACCUGGCUGGCCUUUAUCCCCACGCUGGCCGCGAUCACCUCGCAGGCGGCCCCAGGUGUAUCCCAGGUGUGUCUGUGUGUGUCUCAGGUGUAUCCAGGUGUGUUCUAGGUGUCCCCAGGUGUCCCCAGGUGUGUCUCAGGUGUCCCCAGGUGUGUUCUGGGUGUUCCCAGGUGUGUUUUGGGUGUCCCCAGGUGUGUCUGUGUGUGUCCCCAGGUGUCCCCAGGUGUGUCCCCAGGUGUCCCCAGGUGUCCCCAGGUGUGUCCCAGGUGUCCCCAGGUGUGUUUUUGAUGUCCCCAGGUGUCCCCAGGUGUCCCCAGGUGUGUUUUGGGUGUCCCCAGGUGUGUUUUUGAUGUCCCCAGGUGUGUCCCAGGUGUCCCCAGGUGUCCCCAGGUGUGUUCUGGGUGUUCCCAGGUGUGUUUUGGGUGUCCCCAGGUGUCCCCAGGUGUCCCCAGGUGUGUUUUGGGUGUCCCCAGGUGUGUCCCAGGUGUGUUUUUGAUGUCCCCAGGUGUCCCCAGGUGUCCCCAGGUGUCCCCAGGUGUCCCCAGGUGUGUCCAGGUGUCCCCAGGUGUGUUUUUGAUGUCCCCAGGUGUGUCCAGGUGUGGUUUUGGCUCACCUGGCUGGCCUUUGUCCCCACGCUGGCCGCGAUCACCUCGCAGGCGGCCCCAGGUGUGUCUGUGUGUGUCCCCAGGUGUCCCCAGGUGUGUCUGUGUGUAUCUCAGGUGUCCCCAGGUGUCCCCAGGUGUCCCCAGGUGUGUACCAGGUGUGUUUUUGAUGUCCCCAGGUGUGUCCAGGUGUGUUUUUGGCUCACCUGGCUGGCCUUUGUCCCCACGCUGGCCGCGAUCACCUCGCAGGCGGCCCCAGGUGUG